GGUUGCGAUCAUACCAGCACUAAUGCACCGGAUCCCAUCAGAACUCCGCAGUUAAGCGUGCUUGGGCGAGAGUAGUACUAGGAUGGGUGACCCCUGGGAAGUCCUCGUGUUGCCAACCC
rnacentral:rRNA from 1 species